AGUGAACGCUGGCGGUAGGCCUAACACAUGCAAGUCGAACGGCAGCACAGUAAGAGCUUGCUCUUACGGGUGGCGAGUGGCGGACGGGUGAGGAAUACAUCGGAAUCUACUUUUUCGUGGGGGAUAACGUAGGGAAACUUACGCUAAUACCGCAUACGACCUACGGGGGAAAGCAGGGGAUCUUCGGACCUUGCGCGAUUGAAUGAGCCGAUGUCGUAUUAGCUAGUUGGCGGGGUAAAGGCCCACCAAGGCGACGAUCCGUAGCUGGUCUGAGAGGAUGAUCAACCACACUGGAACUGCGACACAGUCCAGAAACCUGCGGGAGGCAGCAGUGGAGAAUAUUUGACCAUGGGGGAAAGCCUGAUCCAGCCAUACCGCAUGCGUGAAGAAGGCCUUCGGGUUGUAAAGCCCUUAUGUUGGGAAAGAAAAGCAGCAGGUUAAUACCCCGCUGUUCUGACGGUACCCGCAGAAUAAGCACCGGCUAACUUCGUG
rnacentral:rRNA from 1 species